rnacentral:rRNA from 1 species
AACUAACGCUGGCGGCGUGCCUAACACAUGCAAGUCGAACGAGAAAGUUGGCUUCGGCCGAUGAGUAAAGUGGCGCACGGGUGAGUAACGCGUGGAUAAUCUGCCCUUUAGUUUGGAAUAACGUACCGAAAGGUGCGCUAAUACCGGAUAAUACUGAAUGACUACUGUCGUUUAGUCAAAGAAGGCUUCUGUUUACAUGCUUUUGCUGAAGGAUGAGUCCGCGUACCAUUAGCUAGUUGGUAGGGUAAUGGCCUACCAAGGCGACGAUGGUUAGCUGGUCUGAGAGGAUGAUCAGCCACACUGGGGACUGAGACACGGCCCAGACUCCUACGGGAGGCAGCAGUAGGGAAUAUUGGACAAUGGGGGCAACCCUGAUGCAGCAACGCCGCGUGAGCGAAGAAGGCCUUUGGGUCGUAAAGCUCUGUCCUUGGGGAAGAAACAAAUGACGGUACCCUUGGAGGAAGCCCCGGCUAACUACGUG